GUGGACCUCAUCUGCUGUGGUGCCAUCCUGUUCCCCGUAGUCUGGUCCAUCCGGCAUCUCCAGGAUGCGUCUGGCACAGACGGGAAGGUGGCAGUGAACCUGGCCAAGCUGAAGCUGUUCCGGCAUUACUAUGUCAUGGUCAUCUGCUACGUCUACUUCACCCGCAUCAUCGCCAUCCUGCUGCAGGUGGCUGUGCCCUUUCAGUGGCAGUGGCUGUACCAGCCCACAGGAAACAACCCGUACCUGCAGCUGCCCCAGGAGGACGAGGAGGAUGUUCAGAUGGAGCAAGUAAUGACGGACUCUGGGUUCCGGGAAGGCCUCUCCAAAGUCAACAAAACAGCCAGCGGGCGGGAACUGUUAUGAUCACCUCCACAUCUCAGACCAAAGGGUCGUCCUCCCCCAGCAUUUCUCACUCCUGCCCUUCUUCCACAGCGUAUGUGGGGAGGUGGAGGGGGUCCAUGUGGACCAGGCGCCCAGCUCCCCGGGACCCCGGUUCCCGGACAAGCCCAUUUGGAAGAAGAGUCCCUUCCUCCCCCCAAAUAUUGGGCAGCCCUGUCCUUACCCCGGGACCACCCCUCCCUUCCAGCUAUGUGUACAAUAAUGACCAAUCUGUUUGGCU
rnacentral:lncRNA from 1 species